rnacentral:tRNA from 1 species
GGCCGGAUGGCGAAAUUGGUAGACGCACAGGACUUAAAAUCCUGUGAGGGGUAACCCUCGUGCGGGUUCGACGCCCGCUCUGGCCA